rnacentral:lncRNA from 1 species
CCACAUAAGACCUACCCACAUAACACCUAGAGCUGGAGAUAUAGAAAGGAGGAGCAGGGAGUGGAAGACAAAGAAGAAGGAGGGAUCUGGGAAUGAAAAAUAAUAGGGAAAAGGGAGAGCUCAAUCGCAGACCAAGAAGGGUGGUUUUCUUCUUAUCCAUCUCAUUCUCCCCCAUGAACACUAUUGAAAACCACCAUUAAAAUACCUCCAAAAUUCCACCAUAUCAUCCCUCAAACCAGUCAUCUUCUUCUUCCAUUUUUAGCCAUGUGAGGUUACUUUUAUCCACUUUAACUCCAGCUGAAAUCAGUAAGAGAUUAGCUUUAUGCCAUGACAAAAAUUCCAUCCAAAAUCAAUUGAUAAACAUCACAAAAUCGUCAUCGAAUAAGAUCAGUCGAGGUCGCCGGCAAAGUUUCUUUUCGUGGUUAGAUCUGCUCUUAGAUCAAGUUCCAUUACUCUGAAGUUUUUGUGUGCAAUUCAUUGUCACUAAGGGCAUCUCCAACCAUCACUCUUUUUUUUUGGAUCAUUUUUCACUCGAAAAAGGUGCAACACCAAAUCUACUCCAACCAUUACACUAUUUUUUACACAAAAUUCUCUCUCUCUUCUAUAUUAUAUUAGUAUCUUCUGCUCCAACAACUCUAUUUCUCUCUAUUAUCUUCUAUUUAUUUUACACCAAAUGAAUAAAAUAAUAUUAAGCCAAACAUAGGGUAAUGAAUAGUGUAGCACCAAAUUUGAUGCAACGCUAUUCAUGCUCUAUAAUAGAGCAACAAAUGGAGUACCAUCGGAGCAAUAUUACUCUAUUUCUUAUACCAAAUUUAGAUUUGGUGCAAAAAAAUAGAGUACCAUUGUAGAUGACUUAAGGUUCGUUUCUUUUACCUACUCUUUCAAUACAAUUUAUAUCAUAAUUCUCAUUUUUUGUAUUUUGAUUGCAAGUUAACCAAUGACAAGUCAAAAUGUUUCUAUCUUUCUUGCAUUUUCAAUUUAAGAAAUUCUAGUUUCGGUUCGUUGGUCAAACUGCAGUUGAUCUGCUUUAUAAUUUUGCUUGUUGCUUUUAUUUUCUUUUGGUAGUGGGAUAAUUAUGAAUUAGGACACAAUAAUAUAGAUGGGUUUUUGCAUAUUAACAGUUUAUUUAACAUGAUAAGAUAAAGUAUUGCAAUUUGGUUGUCUUUCAUGGAGAUAAAUGCUCAAAGCUUGCAUCUGGAUGUAGAAUGUGAAGUCACAUAAAUGAAUUGGUCAAAAUUAGGGAUGGCAAAUGGACGGAUUGGGCAGAAUUUGGGCGGGUCAAUAUGGGUUAGUCAACAAGUGGGUCACUGUCCAACUCAGCCCAAAAGUAUUUGGGUUAAGAUGGCUAAACAAUGGGUCAUAACCCAACCAACCCAACUUGACUCAUGCUUUAGAAUCAUGCUCAUCUUACAUAAAAAAAUAUUUUACCUUAAAAUAUGUAAUUUGACAAAUAUUUUAUGGUUAGGGGUGGGGGUUGGGGUAGGUGGAUGGUCCUGAAAAAAUGAGAAAAUAUAAAAUAGAAAAUUAAAAUUAUAAAAAUUGCGAAAGAAAAAGAAAAAAAAGAAAAAAAAAUUUAGGUGGUUUGCGCCGGGGGUAGAAGGGUAUGGUAGGGUGGGUGUGUGGUGAAGAAAAUUAAAAACAUAGAAAAUUAAAAAUACAAAAAACAAAGUAAAAUUUUUUAGGGGUUUUGGGG